rnacentral:rRNA from 1 species
AAUACGUUCCCGGACCUUGCACACACCACCCGUCAAGCCAUGGAAGCUGGGUGUACCUAAAGUCGGUAACCGCAAGGAGCCGCCUAGGGUAAAACUAGUGACUGGGGCU